rnacentral:rRNA from 1 species
UACGUAGGGGGCAAGCGUUAUCCGGAUUUACUGGGUGUAAAGGGAGCGUAGGUGGCAUGGUAAGCCAGAAGUGAAAACCCAGGGCUCAACUCUGUGGAUUGCUUUUGGAACUAUCAAGCUAGAGUGCUGGAGGGGUAAGCGGAAUUCCUAGUGUAGCGGUGAAAUGCGUAGAUAUUAGGAGGAACACCGGUGGCGAAGGCGGCUUACUGGACAGAAACUGACACUGAGGCUCGAAAGCGUGGGGAGCAAAC